rnacentral:sRNA from 1 species
CGAUGGGGACGGGGGAACCGUUUCAUGGGUCGCGGCCCUGAUCGCGGCCCUCGGGGUGAAUCCCGCUCAAUGCGGGUAGGGCGUCUCCAGCCCGAACCCGGCAGCUAACCUCGGCGGCCACAGGAGAGGA